GUGGGGAAUAUUGGACAAUGGGCGCAAGCCUGAUCCAGCAAUGCCGCGUGGGUGAAGAAGGUCUUCGGAUCGUAAAGCCCUUUCGACAGGGACGAUGAUGACGGUACCUGUAGAAGAAGCCCCGGCUAACUUCGUGCCAGCAGCCGCGGUAAUACGAAGGGGGCUAGCGUUACUCGGAAUUACUGGGCGUACAGGGCGCGUAGGCGGCUCUGUUAGUCAGGCGUGAAAUUCCUGGGCUUAACCUGGGGACUACGCUUGAUACUGCAGGGCUUGAGGGCGAGAGAGGGUGGUGGAAUUCCCAGUGUAGAGGUGAAAUUCGUAGAUAUUGGGAAGAACACCGGUGGCGAAGGCGACCACCUGGCUCGGUUCUGACGCUGAGGCGCGACAGCGUAGGGAGCAAACAGGAUUAGAAACCCGAGUAGUCC
rnacentral:rRNA from 1 species